rnacentral:rRNA from 1 species
GACGAACGCUGGCGGCGUGCCUAAUACAUGCAAGUUGAGCGAUGAAGAUUGGUGCUUGCACCAAUUUGAAGAGCAGCGAACGGGUGAGUAACGCGUGGGGAAUCUGCCUUUGAGCGGGGGACAACAUUUGGAAACGAAUGCUAAUACCGCAUAACAACUUUAAACAUAAGUUUUAAGUUUGAAAGAUGCAAUUGCAUCACUCAAAGAUGAUCCCGCGUUGUAUUAGCUAGUUGGUGAGGUAAAGGCUCACCAAGGCGAUGAUACAUAGCCGACCUGAGAGGGUGAGCGGCCACAUUGGGACUGAGACACGGCCCAAACUCCUACGGGAGGCAGCAGUAGGGAAUCUUCGGCAAUGGACGAAAGUCUGACCGAGCAACGCCGCGUGAGUGAAGAAGGGUUUCGGAUCGUAAAACUCUGUUGGUAGAGAAGAACGUUGGUGAGAGUGGAAAGCUCAUCAAGUGACGGUAACUACCCAGAAAGGGACGGCUAACUACGUG